ACUAAUAAAGACAAGUUUUCUUAUAUGGUAAUAUACUAAUGAUAAGGCGACGGCUAUAAUUAUUUUAGAUUAAUGGUGGUUAUUUGUAUUAAUUUAUGUUAAUGAAAAAUUAAAAUUUUUUAUUUAUAUUAAUGACCAAUUAAAAUUGUAAAAAAGCUUGCCGUUCUCCGUGGACGGCGCCGCCGCCGGCGACGGUAGAAUGACAGACGGGUGGCUAAUUUUGGUAUCAUCGGAUACAUAAUUUUCCGAUCUGUAUAAUGGUAUCGCAAUCGGUGGAAAAAAAAAAAUCCUAUGUUGGCAAAAAUUGUACCUAAAGAGCGGCGGCCCAAUAACUCCAUCUGCAGACGACAGCUCAUUUACAAGCACCGUCAUGGUAUUCCAAGUCGGCAGUAGCCUAUGAAACUGACGGAGGAGGGUGUGCACCACAUCGAUCCUCCGUUAACCGGAGACGGCGACGUUGCCUGAUCAUCGGCAAAUUUAGGCCGACAAUUUUUUUUUAAUCUAUUUUAUAAUAUUUAGAUAUUACUUAUGUUUGUUGUAAUUUUUUUUUUUGGGAAUUUAGUGCUUUAAUUAAGGAUACUUUUAGCGUUGUUCCGUUGCAAAAUUGGAUUAUGGAAAAAAAUGAUUUUUAAAAAGUUACUUAAGAAUUAGUAAAAAAAAAUUUGAUAAUUCGAAGAUCAAAUUUUAAAUAUGAUGACUAAAUACUUUUUAGACUUAAAUUAUCAAAUAACUACUUGUUUCAUAAUAUGAUGCAAGCACAAAAAUUGUACUCAUAAAUCAUUGAUUUAUUAAAAAGUUCUUAGAGCAUUUCCAAAAUACUCUUCAAAUAAGAUUUUAUUACUUAUUUGAA
rnacentral:lncRNA from 1 species